UACGAAGGGGGCUAGCGUUGUCCGGAUUUAUUGGGCGUAAAGAGCGUGUAGGCGGCCAUGUAGGUCCGUUGUGAAAACUCGAGGCUCAACCUCGAGACGCCGAUGGAAACCAUGUGGCUAGAGUCCGGAAGAGGAGAGUGGAAUUCCUGGUGUAGCGGUGAAAUGCGCAGAUAUCAGGAAGAACACCCGUGGCGAAGGCGGCUCUCUGGGACGGUACUGACGCUGAGACGCGAAAGCGUGGGGAGCGAACAGG
rnacentral:rRNA from 1 species